AUUGAACGCUGGCGGCAGGCCUAACACAUGCAAGUCGAACGGUAACAGGAAGAAGCUUGCUUCUUUGCUGACGAGUGGCGGACGGGUGAGUAAUGUCUGGGAAACAGCCUGAUGGAGGGGGAUAACUACUGGAAACGGUAGCUAAUACCGCAUAACGUCGCAAGACCAAAGAGGGGGACCUUCGGGCCUCUUGCCAUCGGAUGUGCCCAGAUGGGAUUAGCUUGUUGGUGGGGUAACGGCUCACCAAGGCGACGAUCCCUAGCUGGUCUGAGAGGAUGACCAGCCACACUGGAACUGAGACACGGUCCAGACUCCUACGGGAGGCAGCAGUGGGGAAUAUUGCACAAUGGGCGCAAGCCUGAUGCAGCCAUGCCGCGUGUAUGAAGAAGGCCUUCGGGUUGUAAAGUACUUUCAGCGGGGAGGAAGGGAGUAAAGUUAAUACCUUUGCUCAUUGACGUUACCCGCAGAAGAAGCACCGGCUAACUCCGUG
rnacentral:rRNA from 1 species